AACGAACGCUGGCGGCAGGCUUAACACAUGCAAGUCGAACGCCCCGCAAGGGGAGUGGCAGACGGGUGAGUAACACGUGGGGAUCUGCCCAAUGGUACGGAAUAAUUCCGGGAAACUGGGACUAAUACCGUAUGUGCCCGCAAGGGGAAAGAUUUAUCGCCAUUGGAUGAACCCGCGUCGGAUUAGCUAGUUGGUGAGGUAAAGGCUCACCAAGGCGACGAUCCGUAGUUGGUCUGAGAGGAUGAUCAGCCACACUGGGACUGAGACACGGCCCAGACUCCUACGGGAGGCAGCAGUGGGGAAUAUUGGACAAUGGGCGCAAGCCUGAUCCAGCCAUGCCGCGUGAGUGAUGAAGGCCUUAGGGUUGUAAAGCUCUUUCGCCGACGAAGAUAAUGACGGUAGUCGGAGAAGAAGCCCCGGCUAACUUCGUGCCAGCCGCCGCGGUAACAC
rnacentral:rRNA from 1 species